CGCCUUGCCAGCCCGCUCAGAAACUUAAAGGAAUUGACGGGGCCCGCACAAGCGGAGGAACAUGUGGUUUAAUUCGAUGAUACGCGAGGAACCUUACCUGGGCUAGAACGCAAUCGGAAUCAGGCCGAAAGGUCUGCGCCAGCGAUGGCCGCUUGCGAGGUGCUGCAUGGUUGUCGUCAGCUCGUGCCGUGAGGUGUCGGGUUAAGUCCCAUAACGAGCGCAACCCCUACUGCUAGUUGCCAGCGGGUCAUGCCGGGGACUCUAGCGGAACUGCCAGCGUAAGCUGCGAGGAAGGUGGGGAUGACGUCAAAUCAGCACGGCCCUUACGUCCAGGGCUACACACGUGUUACAAUGGCCAGUACAGAGGGCAGCCACCCCGCGAGGGGGCGCUAAUCCUAAAAGCUGGUCCCAGUUCGGAUCGGAGUCUGCAACCCGACUCCGUGAAGCUGGAUUCGCUAGUAAUCGCGCAUCAGCCACGGCGCGGUGAAUACGUUCCCGGGCCUU
rnacentral:rRNA from 1 species